UUUAAAACCUCCCUUUGAACAAUCACUUGUCUUCCCUAUAGUGAAUUAGCUGCUGGGUGGCAGAAGGAAUUGGCUCUGGCUUUUGCACUUGGUUUACUGGAGGCUGAGGAGGAAUGGCAGGACCCUGUCCUCUGGCCACCGUGCCACUCCUACCACUGCCAGCAACAUUCUCACCCUUACUGCCAGAGAGAAUAUGGAAUCUUUUGGAUUAUGGAUUCAAAAAACAUACAUUUCCUAAGAAAUACUGGGAGGGAAUUCCCACAUGGAAACACUGGUCUGUGUCCUAGCCCUAGCCUCUGCAGCAUCAUUCUGGGAUGACAGUUUGUAAUAGUGACCAAAACAUGUAAGUUGGAGUUAAAGCAGAUCCUAGAGAUCAGUGAACUCCUGCAGAUCUGUGGUGAGUAGUAAACAAUAUAUAUAUAUAUAUAUAUAUAUAUUUUUUUUUUUUUAGACAGAGUCUCGCUUUGUUGCCAGGCUGUAGUGCAGUAGCAUGAUCUUGGCUCACUGCAACCUCUGCCUCCUGGGUUCAAGCAAUUCUCCUGCCUCAGCCUCCCAAGUAGCUGGGACUAGAGGCAUGCACCACCACACCCAGCUAAUUUUUGUACUUUUAGUAGAGACGGGGUUUCACCAUGUUGGUCAGGAUGGUCUCAAUCUUUUGACCUAAUGAUCCGCCUGCCUCAGCCUCCCAAAAUGCUGGGAUUACAGGUGUGAGCCACCGUGCCCGGGAAACAAUACAUUUUUAAGUGCCAGACCAACUUACCACAUAGAUGUUUUAAAAACUAACAACUUUAUUGUUGGCUACGGCAGCUUCUCUGGAUCUACAGCCUACAAAGAACUGACUGAACCUCUGAAUGAAAGAGUGAGAGCAUUAGGUUUAGAAUCAGAGUUGGGUUCACAUCCUAACUGCAAUGUACUUUAUGUGUUACAUGUUCUUUGGUCUCAGGUUUCAUCUGUAAAAUGAGGAUAACAUUGCAUUAUAAGGAUUAAAUAAUGUUAAGAACCUAGGACAAUGCGUGGCAGAAACGGCUCUCUCCCCUCCCAUUUCCUAUAACAGUCAACCUUGACACCAGGGAAGAGGAAGGCCACCAAGAGCUUUCUGGUAACAGAAAACCACUCAAUGAAGGCCACACACAGAACACUCUCCUUUGGAAUUCGUCUCACUUUAAGAAUAUUCAAGGAAAAAAGUUGAAUUUUGCCAAUUCCAUAAAUCAAAAGUGAGUAUGUACUGUAGAGAGAGCUUUAGUUAUUUAAAUACUUAAAACAUCAAUUUGCCAAACAGGUGCAAGAGAUUAAAUAGAUUCAGACAUGCCCCUAUCCUCAAGUAGCUUACAAGCUAGGAAUACAAAGCUGACUGUGAUGCACAAAGAUGACAGGAAUACCACGAAAGAAGAGAUUCCUGCCAACCACGGAAGCCAGGCCAUACAAAGGAGCAACAACAUUUCACAGGCAUUCAUGCAGAAGGGCAUUCCAGGCAGAGGGGAUGGCAUGAACAUAGCAAUAACAUCACACAGUAUAGUGCAGCCAUCCAUUUCCCAGCGUGGGAGAGGAGAUGGAGGGGAUGAUGACGGAAAAGGUGAGCUGAAGCAAGGUUAUAAAAACCAGAGCUAGAAAUUGGACUUUAUCCUGGAAGCAAUACAGGCAGUCCAUCUUGGGUCCCCAGUACAUUUUAGGUAGGGUUUACUUUACACAGAUUUGCAUAUAUAUCAGAACAUGAUCUGUUGUAAAAAGCAGGGACAUCACCAUUAUCAUUCUCUUUGUUCUUCUGAGUCAGUCCCUCAAAAUCUCCAUUGGAAUCCUCUGGAAUUUUCCGAAGGCCCCAGCCUAAAGUCCCUACAAGAUCUUUGCAAAGGACUCUCAGAGAUCCUCUUCCAUUUGGUAUUUGGGAGCACAAAGAUCCAAGUAGUACAGUAGUUAUCAGCACUACAGCCUGCACUACCCAGUUUCUGGAUCUCUGUGCAGUUCAGUUCCCUGAAUAAUCUAUAAAAUGAAAACAGGCUCAGAGGAGCGGUUUACAAACCUUUAACAAAGAAAGCUUUUUAAAAAUCCCCAUGCAGGCAGUCUCCAAGGCACCUAUUGUCAACCCCUGGGGCUCUGUGAAGCAAACCUGAAAGACAGGGGUCUGUCCGAUUCCCGGGGCUGUUUCUGUGCUCAAGUGAAAAGGUUAGUUGGGUGGGCUCAGAAUCUACAUCUGGACAAAGCACCAGAAUGAUCUGAUGUCUGUCAUUCAGGCUAGGGAAGAGCCAAGACUUACUCCCAACCCAUGAGGCUGUGCCAAAGUCCUAAUAUUCCCUGAGUCAUACACAGGCUCAUGGAGCCCAUUCCUAGUCCCACCUCUUCAGAAUUCAGGACCAACAAAAUCCUCUUUAGCAAGGAGAAAUAAUCCUGCUGAUCCACGAAAUGCCACAAUUAGCAAUUUAUCCUUUUGCUAAAGCACUUGCCAGUCCCCAUAGGAGGAGGCAUUCAUCCCACACUCUUCCAGGUAAACAAGGUCAUGAGGGCCACUCCUCCCCAUGAGAAGCAGCAGAGCAAUUACAUCCUAGGCACCUGAGGCAGGCCUACUGACUCAAGAACAUGGCAAGUCUCAUCCUCACUGCUUCUUCCCCUCAGUCUGUACAUAUAACCAUCCUCAUGCCCUUGUGCCUGCUUAGUGCCCUUAAACAUGAAGCACUCAGAGACAAGUUACACUGUGUUCUUGCUUGGCCUGACUGGCCCAGCCUUUUCUUCCAGCUUUAGGAGCCUCAGACCUUCAGCCUCUACAGGCCAUUUAGCUCCUCUGUGCUGACAGGAACAUGAAAUCCAGAGAUGCUGGGAGGUAGAAGGCAGCCUCCUCUUCCCCAGAGUGCAGCUGAUGGAGGCUGGAGGCAGCUGCUGGAGGUAGCCAGCAGCAUGCACAAAAAGCUUUCCCCACUCAGUCCUCUUCCAUGCCUUCCUGAAGCCACUUUAAAUACUGCACAUCUCCUUAAUCCACAGGGAGACUGAAGAUCUCUGGGAUUUCAAAAGGAUGUACAGCCUUUGGAGAGAAAGCAAAGCCCUAUAAGUGACUAUGAUUAGAAUCAACUCGUGAUAAAACCCAACUGGCCAGCCUCAAGGGAGGCCCUCUGCAACCUGCCGCACCCCACCUGUCCAGGCCCACGGCCUGUCACUCCCUAGCCUAUGUUUCCCAUCUGUCAAUAAGUGGCCAGUUAGGCCAGAUAGCUUUAGAGUCUCACAGACAUGGGUUCAAAUUCUAACUUUGCCCCUACUAGCUGUCUGACUAUGGACAAGUCACUCAGUUUUCUUUAAAUGCUCCUAUUUAAAAAAAAAAAAAAAAAAGGCCCUACAUGACUGGACUGCUGAGGAUUAAUUAACACAAGGUAUACAAAGCACUUACCCAGUAUACCAGCUGGCACUGUAUGCAUUCAUUACAUGUGAGCUACUCUUUUUAUUAUUAUCCUAUACACAUCACUUCCCAAAACAAUCCCCCCUCCCCCAGUAUCUCUGUAUUCUUUUGCCCACCUAGAUUCCACCUGCUCCUGCUGAUCAAUCAAAAGCCUAUUCUUGCUUAAAAAAAAAAAAACUUCUCUGUCCCUCAAGGUCCAAUUCAACCACUGACCUUUCCCAAGGGAUCUUCCCUGACAAACAAGGUCUACAGGAAUCUAUCUUCCUCUCCUGUGUCUUUUGCCUGGCCCUUGUCACACAGUGCAAGUUCUCUUCACUUUCUAGACUGAAGAAACAUGAGGACUUGGGCCUCAGUGUCCCAUCUGUCAAAUGAGGGUUAUAAUCCUUUGCCUCCUUUCUGCUGAAUGAGGUGUUUUAAAGUUCCCGUAACAUGCUUAAUAAAUCACAGCAUAUGUAUACAUUCACAUGUUGCUUCAAAUGUAUGCUUAAACAUUCUGUACGUUGGGUGCCUGAGGAUAAUGAAUUUUGUUAACUUGUGUUUUUAUAAGCAGACAUACAGAAUUCAAAGACAUUUUUAACACAUUAGGAAUAAGAGCUGAGACUGAUAAAGCAUUUCAUGUACAGGUUUCACAUAUUAAUUUCCAUAUGCAUAACAACCCAUUAGUAUAAUCCCAAUUUUACAGAAGGGGCAACUGAGGCACAUAAAAUAUUCAUAUUUUCCAAGCACUAUGGAACAGUGGCAGGUGGGGAGCCAGGUUUCAAGGUAGGAGGUCCAACUCUCUUAACCCUGAAGCUGUCCCUCACCAGUUAAAUUUUAAUUUCUCCACAGUACUGGCUCUACCAAUGGUUCCUUACUCUCUCACCUUUGCUGAGGUGGUAUCAUGAGGGCCUCCUCUAUAGCUAGUUUGAGACCCAGGGGAACGGUGUAUUCACAGAAUCUUAGUUCCCUAAGGAGUAAAGAAAAGGUUUCAUCAUCCAUAUAGGUGGUUUGCAUCUGUGGCCCUACGUUAGAGUCAACCUGAGAAGGUUCAGGUGACCACGUUAGAGUCAUCUAAAAAGAAAGGUGCUUUUUAGUACCACUAUACUUGAUCCCCGCCCUGGCCAAAUUAAGUCGAAAUCUGUGAGGUGGGGCCUAAAUUGGUAGUUUGAAAAAUGUUUCCAAGUGAUGCUAAUACAUAGCAGCCAGCGGUGAAAAACACUGGUUUAGACCAGUGCUUCUCAAGAUUUAAUGUGCACAGAAAUCCCCUGGGGGUCUUGUUAAACUAUAAUUUGAUUCAGUAGGUCUGGGGUGAGCAGGAGAUUCUACAGUUCUUGAAAGCUCCCAGGUGAUGCCAAUUCCAAAAAUUCCACUUCUGAAUGAUAAAGGUUUAUACUAGAGGUUCUCAAAGUGAAGGUCCACUGACGCAUGGGGAUCUCCAGGACUCUAGGGGGUCCAUGGGGUCAAAACUACUUUCAUAACAAUAUUAUUUUAUUAUUUAUCCUUUUACUAUGUUGACAUUUGCACUAAUGGUUAAAAAAAAAAAAAGAAAAGAAAAGAAAAAACAAACAACAGGCCGGGUGUGGUGGCUCAUGCCUAUAUCCCAGCACUGUAGGAGGGAGAGGCAGGUGGAUCACUUGAGUCCAGGAGUUGAAGACCAGCCUGGCCAACGUAGCAAAACUCUGUCUCUACCAAAAAAUAAAGACAAAAAAAAUAAUAAGCCGGGCAUGGUGGCGGGCACCUGUAAUCCCAACUACUUGGGAGGCUGAAACAGGAGAAUCGCUUUAACCCGGGACACAGAGGCUGUAGUGAGCUGAGAUCAUGCCGCUGCAUUCCAGCCUGGACAACAGAGUGAGACUCUGUCUCAAAAAAAAAAAAAAAAAAAAAAAAAAGACUCCCUACACUCACAUCCUCACUAACAGGAUGUUAGUGGCUUCUAUUUUUCCCUCCCAAAAGUACCUGGAGAAGGGAACAAAACCAAAUUAUGAUGCUCCUAAGAGGAGCUCAGUGAACUGUCAAACCUGGCCCACCUAAGUGACCUACUGAGGAGAAAACUUUAAAAUCUUUCCAAGCCUAUAUAAACAAGUCUAGAGUUGACCAAGGCCUCACAUGUCAUCUGGUCCAACGAUUCCAAUGCAUGCAUCUGGCAUUUGCCUGAACAUUCCUGGAGGUGGGAGGUUCAUCAUCUCUUGAUGAAGUCCAUCUAACUUAAAGGUUUUCACAAGAUGCUUUUUCUUAUAGUGUGCCAACAUCUGCCACCUAGCUUUUUCCCCAACUGGCCUCAUCAAGAACCACCCCAGGACAGCCCUGCAGAAACUCCUAUGUCUUCUCUGCUUGAGCUCUUCCAGUGCUCAUCCUACACACUAGUGCUAUUUUGAUCACUGACUUUCCAAGGAGAGUGCCCAUAAAUGAAUAACUAAAAACACAGAAGACUGCAGGGAAGAAGUAAGCCUUAUAGUUAUGGAAACUUUUAGAUGCUGAAAACAAAGUCAGAAAUGAUGAUCAGAAGACAGUAUAAGAACACCAUCAGGGGAAAGGAAAUACAUUUACCCUGAGAAGAUCAACAAGGGCAAAUCUAAGAUGACCAAGGCCACUGGCCCUUCCUGUGUCACAGGACUGUGGCAAAAGAAUACAUCAUGAGAAAGGAUGGGCAUAUAAAGGAAAUAGUAGGAUGAAAUUCUAUUCAAUUUCCCAACACUGGUUCCCAGACUGACUAAAUGUGACUUAUCUAUACAAGUCUUUAAAAAUUCAGAGACCUGGGCCCUAUCCUCAGGGCGACUAAUUGAAUAGAUUGAGGCUGGAGUUCAGGGAUAGACAGCAUGGCCAAAUUUGGGAACUAUGACUACAGAUGGUGUGAGCCACUGAGAAAAUAACAUCACUGGGGAGAAAAAGGUAGCUUUCAUUAUAUAGCUUAUAUGACCUAGAGAAUGUAUAUUAUGUCUCUCUCUUUUGAGGGUGUAAGGGAGAGAGGGAAGGAAAUGAGAAACAUGAUCAUCAGGGAAAGGAAGACGUACGACAAAUCCUGCACAGCUAGUGCCAGGAUGCUAAAGUAUUGUGAUGAGGGAAAUGGUGCAGACCAGGCUUCUAAAGUGAAGUUGUUAAUGAAAUGAAAGGUAGACAAUACCCAGAAGCAGCCUGUCAUAUAUGCUAAACUGUCUGUUUUCUGGAGAAUCCAAAAGCAUUGGAAACUGUUUUCUCUGAUAUCCCUAGUUGGUUUACUCAAGGAUAAAAUGCCCAGACUUCCUUCCUAACAGCAGGCUAAUUGAUUUAACCAAAGAAUGUGCAAACAAGAUACACUGUUCCUAAAUUAUGCAGUUUUUCCUUCCUUCUCUAUACAGUCUAUUUUUGCUUUUGUUGGACAACAUCCCACUGAUCGAUCGAUCUCUGAAUAAAAACACUGAAAUGGACUGUUGAUUAUCUAAAUGCCUUUGAGUUAUUCUGACAAUUCCUUUAAUUCAGUGUUCUUUACACCAGCCAGGACCUGACCCUAGCACUCCCCACACUCCCCCCACUCCCCCUCCAAUGGCAACAGCAAAACUCACAGUGAAGAUGCCUUGAGUAGGAUGUUCACAGAGGCAGCCAGCUCCUUAUCCAGCAUGGCCCUGAAGCAAAGGCACAGGGUGGCAGUUACUGGAGCAAGUCCCAGGGUCUCAAGAAAGGGGAAGGGGAUGGGGUUCCAGGGACUUACCCAGGAAACCUGACUCUAAGUAGACAGGCUUUUAGCAUUCCCCUCCCCUUACAUCCUCCCUGCUCAAACCAGCACAUUCCAUAACUAUCAGGCACAAAACCUCUGAAGAUAAGCUGUUUGUAAGUCCUUCUCUGGGUGAGGAGAGAAGCAGGGAAGCACCUAUGGGAAGGCAGUUUGAAUAACAGGCCCGGUCUGCUUGGAGAAUGGGAGUUAACACUGAACCAAAAAUAAGAAGACCUAGGUUCCAUUCCCCGUCCUGCAGUAACAUGGCUGUGUGAUCUUCAGUUCCUUCUUUCAUUCUAGUAGGAAGUAUUCAAGCACCUACUCUGAGAUAGGCCCUUUCCCACCUCUCAACUUGAAUCUCCUAUUGGUACAAGAGGAUUGGUUUAGCUGGUGGUUUCCAACCCUUUUCACUACCGAGAACUUCUUUUAUUAUGCCACCUUCUGCUGUUAACUCUCAGAGAUGCAUCUGGUUGAUGGGUGCUUUGAUUUGUAGAUACCCAUGUGACCGCACAGAGCUGAUACAACUCCAAAGCAAAAGCAAAAAAAGAAUCAUAUCCUGUGUUCAUUUUGGCAAAUACAAGCUCUUUUCACUUGUUAUUAAAGGUUUCUACCACAGCCCUAACAGCAUAGUCAUCUGCUUUACAGACCUCUAAGAUUUUUUGACUGACUCCAGGCUGAAAUGCCUUGUCAGAUGUUGUUUGUGUGUGUGUUUUAGAGACAGAGUCUUGCUCUGUCACCCAGGCUGGAGUGCAGAGGCACAAUCUUAGCUCACUACAGCCUCGAACUCCUGGGCUCAUGCAAUCCUCCCACUUUAGUGUCCCAAGUAGCUAGGACUACAAGCAUGCACCACCAUGCCUGGCUAACCUAAAAAAACAUUUUUUUUAGAGAUGGGGUCUCAUUUUCUGGCCCAGGCUGGUCUCAAACUCCUGGCUUCAAGUGAUCCCCCUAACUCAGCGUUCCAAAGUGCUGGGAUUACAAGUAUGAGCCACUGCGCCUGGCCCAGAUCACCUUUAAUAUUAUACUGGAUUUCAAUCUCAGUCUCUGAUUGCUGUGCAUAGAAUUGGUGAACACAAUAAAUUGUGUCUGAACUAGUACAUGUGUCAUAGAAAUAGGAGCACCAUCAGUGCAAGGAAGAAGUGUUCCCAACCAUCCAAACUGCAAGCCCUCAGAGUGUAGCAGGCCCUGACAAAUCUUCCUCAGAUCUCUGACAGCCAAAGGUCUCCAUUCCAUGAAGUGCUUGGACCCUGCCAAACAAACCUUAUCUGAGCCCUGCUCCCUGCUCUCUCCUUCCCUCAGCUGCUGCCAAGAGAAUUGACCUACUCUGUCUUCCCUCAGGUUGAACACUGCUGAAUUUAAGGGCUCCAUACUAAUGUGACAUUACCGCCACCAUCAUCGUUCCUUUGGAAAGUUCCAAGAGGUAAAUAAGUUCCUGACUGUGAAGAGUGACACAUGGCAUGAAUCUGCUUUUGCAAUUGCUGCCAGUCUUACUCAAUCACCCACUGAGAAAUUAUAUUUUAGUGGUUCUGGAGGUGGCAUGCAAACACAGGCAGAGUUACACCUCUAGAAAAAAGAAUCCCAUUGUCUCACAGGCCUUUCCCAAUCUCUUUGAGAGUGUAGACUCCUUGGGGACUGAUCACAGCAACCUGAAAGAUUACAGAACUGUUGAGCACUUGGUUAUUCAAAAAGCCCAUAGGGCUAUAGAGUUGACUGAAUGUAAUUUUAAAUCACAAACACACACACCCAAAACCAGCAGUGAGUCAUCCAUGGGGUGCCCAGGUUCUAGGAAAGCAGAAGACAGAUGUGUAGAGCUACUAGGAUCUCUCAAAACUGCAGCCAUCACAGAAUACUGGCUCACAAACCAGAUGCAUAGAUCAGCUCUCACAGCAUUUUUUUAAAAUUCUUGAUUUUGUUAACAAAAUUUCCUUUUUUUUUUUGUCAGAAAAAAAAAAAUUUCUUUUUUUGUCUGUCUGUCAACCAGGCUCCCCUCAGACUCAGAUUCUGUAUCCAUCACCUUCACCUAAAUGACAUCCUCUUCUUCAUGUCUUCCUUCUCUUUCUUCAAGUCCUUUGCUUUAUUUGGAAGGUUCUUUUGCAUCUCUUCAUAGGUAUAAGCAAUUUAUUGAAACUGUUUUUAAAAGUCAGGCUUCAAUCCAGGAAAGGAUCCAUAUGAAUUGUAGCAUCAGACAGCAUUCAAUUUCCUCUGCAAAGACUUCUUCCUAUGGAAAUAGACUCUCAGUGAUGACCAAAGACAGAAACUUGAGUAGCUCAUUAAUUUCACUUUCCCUAAUAUCAAUAAAUCUUAAACCCACCUGUUUUGCAGACACUAAGAUUUUUUUUAACUUCUUCAUUAGCUCUAGGGAAAUAUGCAUCAUUCACACAUCCUCCCACAGUUUCCAGCAAGCUUAAGAGUGGCUGAUUUUAUAUCACCCAUCACCUCUUUUAUCACUACCAAAGCAUCGGCAAUAUUGUACUGUUGCCAUGCUUCUUUCAGAGUAAGGUGAGGGUUUUUUCAAUACAGUCAGCAAAGUGGUCAAACAUAUGCUUGAUUAUGUUCAAAUGCUUCAGUUAUACCCUGACCCAAGGGCUGAAGAAAGCUAGGGCCUUCCUGAGGGAGAAACACAGUAUCAACAUUAGAAUGAACAAAGAAUAAUGAAUCUGGGUGAUUGGGACCUCUGUCCACAGUUAGCAACAUUCUGAUUUCCAGAUUUUUUUUGUUAAAUGACUUCGGACUUGAUGGAUAAAAAAGUUGUAAAACUAAUCCAAAAAGUGGCAGUGGUGAUUCCGGGUGUGAUUACAAGAAAACAGGAAGGCGUUUAUCUCUAAAAGACAAGUGGGGUAUUAGAGUCUUUGUAAAGCAGCAGUGGUUUUUAUCAUUUUGUCACCUGAGGCACUGCCACAAAAAAAUGAGGGAAAUCCUGUCCUUAGCUUCCUCUAAGCUUUCCAGAUUUUUGUCUUUUGCCCCAAAAGUAGGAAGGCAUGCACUGCAAAAGAUGGGUCAUCUCCUUGGCGUUGAAGACCUGUUGAGGCACAAAGCCUCUCUCCAGUUGCUUGGAAUACUCGAUACCCACUCAGGAUUUAAGGGUCCUUCCUCCCCAUCAACUUCGUAUGUUGCAAAACAGCAGCGAUUUUUAAAGUUCUCAAACCAUCCCUUGCUCGCAUGAUACUUAUUUGGGUUGUCCUCCCCAGAUGUUUCCCAUUGGUUCCCUGUAGAUGUAUUUGGCCUGGUUGCAGACGGCCUUCCGGGUCAGAUGUCGCCCUGUCAUCUGGCCUUCCACCUAAAAGGUUAACUGGGUCUCCACCUUCACGAUGUUUACAUUACAGGGGAAUACACAGCAGCUUAGAGCAGAUGGGCGACCAACUCUCCACGCUAGUCUUUCUUGGUUUUCUGAGGGGAGUGGAGGACAAGAGGGGAAAGCAGGGUCUUGCUCUGUCGCCCAGGCUGGAGUGCAGUGGCACAAUCACCGCUCACUGCAGCCUCGACCUCCUAGACUUAGGGGACCCUCCCGCUUCAGCCUCCCGAGUAGCUGGGACUACAGGUGCGUGCCACCACACCACACUAAUUUUUUUCCUUUUUUUUUUUUUUUUUUUUUUCUUUUUGGUAGAGAUGGGUUUCUCACUAUGUUGCCCAGGCUGGUCUCGAACUCCCGGGCUCAAGCGAUCCUCCCGCCGCGGCCUCCCAAAGCGCUGGGAUUACAGGUACGGCCACCGCGCCCAGCUGCUUCUCCUUGGUGGACUGAUCAACACCAACAAGGCGGCGCACGUCCCUAUUACUCACGCCUUCGUCAGGCUCCUGGAGAAUAUUCAUCCAGUCUUCCAGGGGCAUGACGCUCCGCCUCCUCUUGACAGGUGGCUGGCCCAGGAUCAAGAUUCCCCUCCAGGCCACCGCUCCACCUGGGGAGGCCUCAGCCGCGGCCGUAGCCGCGGUGGCCUCCAUAACGGCUGCAGUCGUCCCCGCCUAGAGCCUGGUUUUGGAGCCGCGAGGACGCCGACGAGGACGCCGACGAGGCUGUUUAACUUCCCGUGAGUCCCCACCCUCGCCGCUCCGCUGGCCGGGAAUUUGGCAAGGCUUUGCCCUACGCGGUAAACACGUAAGCCUACUGGCCUCCGCAUUUCCCUGAGCAGCGACCUAGAUGACGCCAGACUGAGGGAGCCGCAAC
rnacentral:lncRNA from 1 species